GCAUAUUGUCUACGGGUUCGCCCACACUGCCCUCACACACUUGGCACUGCCAUGCAGACAACACGUCACACGCAUUGCGCUUGACUGACAAACGGCGACAAGUGUGCUUAAUACGGUAGAACAUGUGAAUGGGUGUGUGGGAAUGUAAGGUCUGUGGAAAAUCAGAAAAAAAUCCAUAAAGUGAAAGAUGUCAAAUCCAGUCCACCUGAGAGUCGUCCUCGGCGGAGAUGACGCUAGAAAUCUUAGCCUGAUGUCAGGGAUACCAGCAUCUGUGGAUCAACUUGUCCAUGAGAUAAAGACUGCUUUCGUCAGUGAGAAUUCAUGCGUAUAACAAAUUUGCCACUUCAAGCCAAGUUUUUGGGAGAAGUAGACAAAUACACACCUAACUUGAUGAAGGUCUUCAGCAGUAGAGGAGGAGCUGCUGGAAAGAAGAUCAGGCUUCUCAUGGCUCCGACA